rnacentral:tRNA from 1 species
GGGAGUGUGGUGAAAGUGGCAAACAUAUCUGAUUUAGGAUCAGAGAUUUAUAGGUUCAAGUCCUAUCACUUCUA